AACUUUCAACAAUGGAUCACUUGGCUCUGGCAUCGAUGAAGAACGCAGCGAAAUGUGAUAAGUAAUGUGAAUUGCAGAAUUCAGUGAAUCAUCGAAUCUUUGAACGCACCUUGCGCUCCCUGGUAUUCCGGAGAGCAUGCCUGUUUGAGUGUCAUGAACUCUUCAACCCACCGGUUCCUUGUUGAACCGUGUUGGCGUUUGGUUUUUGAGCGUUGCAUUUUCUCAAAAAGCUCGUUCGUAAUAUAUUAGCAUCUCAAUUUCCAAAUUUCGGAUUGACUCAGCGUAAUAGACUAUUCGCUGAGGACACCUUUUUUAUUAUUUAAAACCAAGGUGGCCGAGUUUAGAUAACAGUUAGAAGCUUCAAGCUCUUACUUUUUGAAGUCAAAAUCUUAGAUUAGACCUCAGAUCAGGCAGGAUUACCCGCUGAACUUAAGCAUAUCAAUAAGCGGAGGAU
rnacentral:misc_RNA from 1 species